GAAUAAUCUACAACCAGUAGGUUUAGAAAUAUGAAGAUUUGUUUGCGGGAAAAAGUACAAAUAUGUUAUCAAUUAGAACCAUAGCAUAGGCUUUUUCUCUUGGAAGGGGAGAUUUUGGAUUGUAACAUGCAGUUUUAUGGUGUUUCUCCCCUUAGAUUUGGAGUUUAAAUAAUCUCAAAAGAAAAGUUUUCUAGUUUCCACAGUCCAUGGGAGGCUUGUGUUUCUACACUCUUGUUCAUACACUAGAAAUUCUGUUAUAUUAGUCUCCAUCCCUCCCUGGGGAGCAGA
rnacentral:lncRNA from 1 species